AUAGCGUAUAUUAAAGUUGUUGCAGUUAAAAAGCUCGUAGUUGAACUUCAGACCUGGCUGGACGGUCUGCCUAACGGUAUGUACUGUCUGGCUGGGCCUUACUUCUUGGUGAGCUGGUGUGCCCUUUAUUGGGUGCGUUGGUGAACCAGGACCUUUACCUUGAGAAAAUUAGAGUGUUCAAAGCAGGCCUAUGCCCGAAUACAUUAGCAUGGAAUAAUAAAAUAGGACGUGCGGCUCUAUUUUGUUGGUUUCUAGAGUCGCCGUAAUGAUUAAUAGGGAUAGUUGGGGGCAUUGGUAUUGAGUCGCUAGAGGUGAAAUUCUUGGAUUGACUCAAGACCAACUAUUG
rnacentral:rRNA from 1 species